GUACCGUGGCAUAAAAAUAACAUAAAAUGAGCCCCUGUAGUCCUGUGGUGAAGUUUAGACUUCUCUUCAGAUAACCAAUUUAUCACCGAGUUAUGUCGAAAAAAUUGUGAUAAUGCAUAAAUUACAUCAUAAUAAAUUUGAUGCGAUAUCUGUUCAAAUAACCAGAGCUCCCUGUCAACUUUAAACAAGGAAUGUUUGAAGAGUACUAUGGGACAUAAUAUUGUUGAAACAGCUGUACUCCAUAGCUCUUCUGUAAGAGAUUUUACUUGCAAUUCAUUGAGGUGAAUACCACAUCAUUGAUGACUUGAUGUUUGUCUACUGCUAGAUGUAUAUUGGAUCUGUUUACUGCUAAUUUACCGUUCUAUUUUGCUCAUCUUGUUUACCACUUUCUCUCUGAUUUUUCCUUCCGAAUUGGUUUGGUUGAUUGCACUCACUUGCAGUGAUAUGAUUAGAGUCUAGAGCAGCUUCACCAAAGGUGAGAAUGCCCUUAUCAACGCCAAAUCUUCACCAGAAGGCAUGAGGCUGUUAAAUUAUAAAGGAACCUGAGAACAAACAGGUAAACCAUACAUAUAUUCAUGCACACUCCUGUUUGAAUUCAAAAGUUGGUCAUCUAUCAUUUGCACUCCUUUUACUCCCAAUGCCUCCUAAUCCCAAGUUCAUCCUUGAAAAUUACCAUGAGCAUGCACUGAAUCCAUCUCACAUUGUUAUCUGUUCAUGAAAUGCUUUUCUUCUCCUUUUGAGCUCUCUAAAGUUCUUUCGAAAUUCUGGAGACAUGAAAACUAGCACAUAUCUUUUGAUUGCACAUUCUCUCUUGUGUGAGAACGUUGCUUGCCUUCUAAUCUCUCUUCCUCCUGUGUCACAGGAACAUUUUGCAUCUAUAAUUUCCCAAAUAAAAUUUGUUAUCGGGUACAACAAGUUAGAGACCUGCAUCCAUUUAUAGACAACAGUGAGACACAUUCAGGAAAUCAGGACCAGGGGUAGGGGAGAUGAAAAGUUGAUUUUGCCAGAACUUUUCAUAUAAGCCCCCUUAAUAGUUUCUGAAUUACUGAAAUGAUUAUCUCAUUUGAAUUCCAUAACCGAAUCGAAAAUGCAUCUGGAAAAGAUUGAAAUAACGUUUCCUGUUACACGAGAGUACAAUCAAAGUACAAGGGUUCCCUUUGAUAAGAGCCAAUUUAUCAGUAAGUGUUGUAAUAUCAAUUAUAUUAUGGGAACACGAUCUACCAGAUAAGCUUCAAGAAAAUGUUGGACAAACGACUUGACUUCUUCGGUUUGUUGCAUUAGAGAAUAGCUAAGUCGAUCCGAGAGCUGACAGCUAGAAGCUAGUAAAUCAUGCAUAACCAUAAGCUUCAUGUUUACUACCUUUUGAUUUUGGGAUGCCCAAAACUUCAUUUCAUCUCUCCUUAAUUUUAUUUCUGAAACCUCCCAGUCCCAUAUAUGUAACCACACAUAUGUUAAGCAUUGGAUCUCUUAUUGAUAAAUACUCAUGGGAGAGUAUUUUCUUGUCCUCUUUUGAACUCUCUGUUCUCUAGUAACUUACAUAUGUAGAAGUGAAAAAACUCUCAUGUGGUCUGUGGGAGAGACCUCAAAACCUCACUUGCCCUUUUAUCUCAUUUCCGCACUCUCCAUCUGUUCUUGUGAGUACUUUGGUCUAAGCCAAAAGAUAUCUUGUCAAAAUUUGUGUUACUGUUUUUUUACUUUUGCUCCCAAAUAAAGUCUUAAUACUUCUGAGGUUGGAUGCCUGUACUGUGUAUUGAUGAAGCAUGCACUUGCAUGUAGUACUAUACCAGCUGUAAGCACCGAAAAUUAACCUUCUUCAGUUAAAACUAUGCAAAUUUAUACUCCCUCCGUUCCAAAAUAAAUGCAGUUUUACACUGUUUAUAUCCAACGUUUGACCAUUUGUCUUAUUUGAAAAUUUCUUGUGAUUAGUAUUUUUAUUGUUAUUAGAUGAUAAAACAUAAUUAGUACUUUAUGUGUGACUAUUUUUUUAAUUUUUUCAUAAUUUUUUCGAAUAAGAUGGACGGUCAAACAUGGGGCAUAGAUACUCACAGCUAAACUUAUUUUGCGACAGGUAGUAUGAAGCUAACAUGGCAAAUGGAGGAGCAGUCUAUAUUAUAAUUAGCAAACAAUAUGAAUCAUUGACUGAAUACCCUUUAGUGAAGAAAAAAAAUAGACAAGUCCCUGAUCUAGUAGUUUUUCAUAAUUAGAACAUACAUAUUCAUACUCCACAUUCAUUCGAUCUUUUAGAAUAAAACUAGAAAGGAAGCCCGCGCAGAUGCGCGUGCAUCUUAUUUAUUGUUUAUAUAAAUAAUGCUAAGAGAAUUAAGUCAUAUCUCACCAUAUACAUAUAACAAAUUAUAGAUUUUGCCUCGUAGUAACAAAAAAUUAUGUUGUGAAAUAGACCGUAGACUUUAAUAUAAAUGAUAAGAAUGUCUCUUAGAUUUAAUCAAAAUUCACUUUUGUCCAGGUAAGUGUAAACUUUGCUAUUAUCACCAUUACUUAUUAUCAUUGUUCUUAAAAGAUAGAUAUGAUUUUAAUAAAUGGAACUCCAUCUAAACCACCAAAAUAAGUCUAAUACAUCAUUAAUACAUAAAACAUUAUUUCAACUAUGUACCUAAAUGUUUAUGCCAACACUUAUUUCUAAAUCUACUGAUAAAUAUUCUAAAACUAAUGCUUCUAUUGGUUAUUAGGAUAGCACCGUUAAAAAAUAGACAUGUCCCUCUAAUGGGGAGAACCAUCAAGAUUCCUUCAAGCAUGGGUUGACAUAGUCGUGCCUCUCACAGUCUCACAACCAGUGUGGAGCACAAUUUGAAUUAAUCCUAGUUCACUAUCGGCAUCCUUAAAGACGAUUGCACCAGUAAGUAGGAAGUUGAGCACUAUUAUCAAUGGUGGCCUCCACUGAGCCUGCCUCAAGUCAACCAUAUGUGUGCCCCACGCUAUAGUUGUGGUAUCCAUGCUCGGUGCCCUCUAGGGAAACAAAGAGAAGAUGGAUGUGAUGUAAAUAGUUAUUCAGUUAUUCCCAUAAAAUAUAGUUUCUUUAUGUUUUAUUUAGACACAAUUUUGUUUAUGGUGUUAAUCAAAGCUGCUUAAUUUUUAUGGUACAAAUACAAUGUCAUCUUUAGAAAUGAGUGAAGUUGAUCACUAAAAAUAUAUAUAGCUAAACAAACACGUGACCGUGACAAUGUUCAGAGUAUUAUUUCAUUGUUUAUAUUUUGACAAAGAUCUAUAUUUUAGCAUCUUGUUUUUUUUCAUCACCUAUUGUCCAUAAUUGCAUGAGACACCUUUACUAAUUCUAAAAUUUUAUUUAUUUCCCAAAAUUAUUUAUAAUAACUAAUUUGUUGAGGUGCACUUAUAGUUAUGUCACUGUGGUUUAUGGCAUUACAUUCAUCAAUUAUCACUUAUGACCAUUAUAUUAUAAUUCCUCUACUAUAAGAAAAUAUAUCAUGAAUAGUUUCAUGCUCAUGUUAUAGGAUUGUUCAUUUGUUAUCAAACCUAUUUGGCAAAGAAAAACAUAUAUGACCAUAAUUCUUGUGAUAGAUUAAGGGGUCGUAUUAUAGCAAGAUCAUUGCCUGAGCAUACCAAUCCAAUAGUUAUG
rnacentral:sRNA from 1 species